rnacentral:rRNA from 1 species
GACGAACGCUGGCGGCGUGCCUAACACAUGCAAGUGGAGCGACGAACCAGGGCUUGCCCUGGGGCCAAGCCGCGAACGGGUGAGUAACACGUGGGUAACCUGCCCCGAUGACCGGGACAACCCGAGGAAACUCGGGCUAAUACCGGAUGUGGUGGACACACUUAAGUGUGUCCACUAAAGGAAGCUUCGGCCUCCGCAUUGGGAUGGGCCCGCGGCCCAUUAGCUAGUUGGUGGGGUAAAGGCCUACCAAGGCAACGAUGGGUAGCUGGUCUGAGAGGACGAUCAGCCACACUGGGACUGAGACACGGCCCAGACUCCUACGGGAGGGCAGCAGUGGGGAAUCUUGCGCAAUGCGCGAAAGCGUGACGCAGCAACGCCGCGUGAGGGAA